UNCGGCUUGUGCUUUAAGUUGCCUCACUGA
rnacentral:piRNA from 1 species